AGAGUUUGAUCCUGGCUCAGGAUGAACGCUGGCGGCGUGCCUAACACAUGCAAGUCGAGCGCGAUUAAAUGAAGUGGAGAGCUUGCUCAAAGCGACAUUUAUGAAAGCGGCGGACGGGUGAGUAACGCGUGGGCAACCUGCCCUGUGCAGAGGGAUAGCCACUGGAAACGGUGAUUAAUACCUCAUGGAGCUAUUGAACCGCAUGGUUUGAUGGUGAAAGUUCCGGCGGCACAGGAUGGGCCCGCGUCUGAUUAGCUAGUUGGUGAGGUAACGGCUCACCAAGGCGACGAUCAGUAGCCGACCUGAGAGGGUGAACGGCCACACUGGAACUGAGACACGGUCCAGACUCCUACGGGAGGCAGCAGUGGGGAAUAUUGCACAAUGGGCGCAAGCCUGAUGCAGCAACGCCGCGUGAGUGAAGAAGGCUUUCGGGUCGUAAAGCUCUGUCCUAGGGGAAGAAUAAAUGACGGUACCCUGGGAGGAAGCCCCGGCUAACUACGUGCCAGCAGCCGCGGUAAUACGGAGGGUGCAAGCGUUGUUCGGAAUUAUUGGGCGUAAAGCGCGUGUAGGCGGUUUGUUAAGUCUGGUGUGAAAGCCCUGGGCUCAACCUGGGAAGUGCAUUGGAUACUGGCAAACUUGAGUACGGGAGAGGAUAGUGGAAUUUCGAGUGUAGGGGUGAAAUCCGUAGAUAUUCGAAGGAACACCGGUGGCGAAGGCGGCUAUCUGGACCGAUACUGACGCUGAGACGCGAAAGCGUGGGGAGCAAACAGGAUUAGAUACCCUGGUAGUCC
rnacentral:rRNA from 1 species